rnacentral:rRNA from 1 species
CCUACGGGAGGCAGCAGUAGGGAAUCUUCCGCAAUGGACGAAAGUCUGACGGAGCAACGCCGCGUGAGUGAUGAAGGCUUUCGGGUCGUAAAACUCUGUUGUUAGGGAAAGAACAAGUACGAGGAGUAACUGCUCGUACCUUGACGGUACCUAACCAGAAAGCCACGGCUAACUACGUGCCAGCAGCCGCGGUAAUACGUAGGUGGCAAGCGUUAUCCGGAAUUAUUGGGCGUAAAGCGCGCGCAGGCGGUUUCUUAAGUCUGAUGUGAAAGCCCACGGCUCAACCCGUGGAGGGUCAUUGGAAACUGGGGAACUUGAGUGCAGAAGAGAAAAGCGGAAUUCCACGUGUAGCGGUGAAAUGCGUAGAGAUGUGGAGGAACACCAGUGGCGAAGGCGGCUUUUUUGGUCUGUAACUGACGCUGAGGCGCGAAAGCGUGGGGAGCAAACAGGAUUAGAUACCCUGGUAGUCCACGCCGUAAACGAUGAGUGCUAAGUGUUAGAGGGUUUCCGCCCUUUAGUGCUGCAGCUAACGCAUUAAGCACUCCGCCUGGGGAGUACGGUCGCAAGACUGAAACUCAAAGGAAUUGACGGGGGCCCGCACAAGGCGGGUGGAGCAUGGUGGUUUAAUUCGAAGCAACGCGAAGAACCUUAC